CCCUUAGAUGUUCUGGGCAGCACGCGCGCUACAAUGGUCUUCGCAAACAGAUGCAUUCUCGAAGGAGAAUGCCAAUCUUGGAAUCUAUGCCUUGGUCGGGACAGUUGCUUGCAAUUUUUCGACUCGAACCAGGAAUUCCUUGUAAUCGUGAUUCAUCACACCACGAUGAAUACGUCCCUGCCCUUUGUACACACCGCCCGUCGCUCCUACCGAUCGAAGAGCUAGGUGAAUUGUUUUGAUCGAUAAGAUUUGACUAUGGUCAACUCUCGUUGUGAAAUUCUGUGAAUCUGACUGUUUAGAGGAAGGAAAAGUCGUAACA
rnacentral:rRNA from 1 species